UUGCUUGUUUCUGUUUGGGAAUGGCAGAUGCUGAGAGGUCCAGCGUUUACAUUACCGACUAUUUCAAAGUGACAGCCUGAGGUGUUCUUCAGUAAAUUGGACUACCGGACAGGAGGACCUGAGGCCCCAACGCAAUAUUUUUGGAUGCAGCAGCAGACUGAACCAGGACUGAAACCUGCUCCAUCAUCUCAUCUUUGCAGAUGUCCAUUUAUAAAGCAUCAACAACUCAAAGGAGCUGCCCUCAGAUUCAGACCUCAGCACCACCCAGUGACAGCAGACAGAUCAUCCAACAUGUUCACAUGUUAACUGCAACAUUAACUGAAGAAAACAGUACAAAGGUUAAAGUACCACAUGUGCUGUCAGUGAAAGCUGCAGCUGUUUUAUUGAUAAAUUUAAAGACAAAAAGUCAAAAGGAUUAAUCACUCAUGUAACUGUGUCGCUAUACAUCAGCAUUAACAGGACCUCAGUUUGGUGUUUCAGAAAACUGCUGAUCUCAGACCUGCACAACUUCUGUUUUAAACACUGAAUGUACUCAGCUACAUGAAGAGCACAUGAUGUUUUCUCUGACACAAUUAAAUAAAACCUGAUUAAAGUCAAAGGUUGUUACUUGUAUUUGAACUAAAAACUUGUGAUCUGGAAUUCUUUCACUGUUUUUUGACAAUAGUGUGUUAUUUAUCAUAAAGUAAUUCAGAGUCAUUCAUACCAGAGUAACCAGAGAGCACAACAUAUAUUUAACUUUCUACAGGACUUAAAGAUAUUAUAUUAUGUAAAAGUCCAGACCCUCUGAGGAUUAUCUGAGUACUUCUAACAUUACACAAAGCAAAGGUCUCCAUCAGUGUUCAUGAAAUGCUGGGUUUAUCCCUCUUGUGAGGGAGCUGCUGGUGAAGAUCACGAGUCCUGCUUGAUCCCGGCGAUGAGUUUCAGUCUUCCUGGUGUUUCUGAAAUGAUGCCUCUCACUGUGGGUCAACAGAACAUCUGGCACAGGA